CUAUCUAAACCACAAUUCGUUUCAUCCGCCGCUCCACCUUUCUCUACAAACCCUAGAUCCUCCACCGCUCCUCCACCUUUCAUCCAUGGAACCGGUCGUCGCCAUCACCGUCUUCUCCCCUUCUCCACUCCAACAGUCGCUUCAUGAUCUAGGGUUUCACUGAGAAACCAGUCGUUUCAUGAUCUAGGGUUUUUCUGUAGAUCCGAUGCUAUCUCAACAGAUUCGACACCAGAUCCGACACCAGAUCCGACACCAGAUCGAUUUCUAUAGCUUCUUUCCCGGUGGCUUCAAGAUCCGACACUAUCUCAGUAGAUCUGACACCAGAUCUACUGGUUUGACUGUAGGAUCUUCCGUUUGGUUGUGGGUUCGUCAACGAUGGUGGUUGUGGGUGGAAGAUCUGGCCAGAUCUAUGGCUCUGUUCUUUAGGUAUAUCUUACAAUCAGAUCACCGGUGAAUCCCAUACAAUAUCGGGUCUCUCCAAGAUCAUUUGCUGAAUGAGGUAAUAUAUGAUGCAACUUGUGUACGAUUGCAAGCUGGACACCAAGCAUAGAGUUAUUUUUAUAGACAACUUAUAAUGACUGGUAAUAUAGAGGUUGAUGCUAUUAAUAAACCUUACCGUCCAACUCUUUUGGAGCCGUAUCUGAAAAUGAGGUCAUUACUCAAAUUUGGGUGCUCUUUUAAGAGAUUUUGGAUUUGCUGGCAUAUUGGAUGUUUGGGCAGAACAUGACUUCUGUACACUUGGGAAACGCUUUGAAUUGGAAGAAUUGGGCCCAAUCAAAUGGUCUAUGAUGGCUAAGCAUUUUGAGCGUCAAGGGAAAUUGCCAUAUGCAUAUCAUGCUGGCAUACACGACUGUUGCUGGAUCAGACAAGUCUUUCAGUACUAGAGACAUAUCUGAUGCCCAUUACAUGCUUGCUUGUGUGCUAGAAUUAAUAUCAGUGGAACCAAUAGGGAAGUUAUGCCCGUCGAGACACAAAGACCGGAUGCAAUAUUGUCGAAUAAGUGUUGUUAUGACUACUUCAUUCAUUCACUAAGGGUGAAUUCAAACAAAUAAUGGAUGGUUCUCUCUGGGUCGGGCAUACGAACACCCCAUUGUUGUGUAUUUUAAGUCUUUCUUGCAUACGAACACCCCAUCUGGUAUAUUGAUCUCUAAAAUUGCACAGAUUGGUCCAAUCGUGUCCGUAUCUCCAUAUAUGCGAAUGCACGUAUAGGAGCUGGUGCACGGUUGAUUAAUUGUAUCGUUCUUGAUGAUGUCGAAAUCAAGGAAACGCAGUGGUGAUUCAUUCGAUUGUCAGCUGGAAAUGUUCGAUUGGGCGGUGGUCACAAGGCAAAACUUGGAGUCACAAUUCUUGGUGUGUUUUGCUUCUUGGGAUUGUAGAGUAAAAUGCCAUUUUCAUCCCUGAGGGAUCACGAAGUUCAUGUGGCUGGGGACAUGGUAAAUCGGCAAGAGGAAGAGGAAAAUUCAGAGCUACCAUGAUUGUAAUGACUUUUGUUAAUUGAACUGGCCAAGUUUUUUACUGCCAAAAAUUGUUCAGCAGGUGGGUGGAGCUACUGGUGUGUGUCGCUCAAAGUGCUAAGCUUAAGUAAGUGCAUGGGGGUGACAAGCGAUGGUCUUUCAAGAUGUUCUGAACUAUCUGUAUUGAAGCUUGGGAUAUGUCUAAAUAUGACCGAUGAGGGGCUUAUUUUUUAUCGGGAAUGGAUGCAAGAAACUUAUAGAGCUCGAUUUAUACAGGUCAAUUGGACUUACGGAUAAAGGCAUUUCUGCGGUUGCUCGUAGGUGCACCGGCCUUGAAAUGAUCAAUAGUUCUUACUGUGGAGUUUGUGAGCAGGGUAUGGUGCAUUAAAAUAGUGUCGCCACAAGAGGUGCAGCAACUGGGGAAACAAGGGGUCAAGGUUCUUGACCCGGUUCAGAUACAGAAACCCUGAGACAGCUGCUAUACUCCGAGCCAGCAAGUACUGAACCGACGUCUCCUCCGUCACAAACCCGCCACCGUCUCUGUCGUCUCCUCCGCCACAAACUCCACACCCUCUGCCGGCAUCUUCAUCAGCGACAACAUCUUUUCCGGUGAAGGUAUCAUCAUCACUUCAUGAGCGCCGUAGUUGAUGGAUUUGAUGUGUAUCUGUGUAAAUGUUUUAAAUUUUGUUGUGAAUUUGUUUGAUUUUGUGGAGUUGUUUUGGAAUUUGAUAAAUGGAUUUGAUGUGUUUCUGUGCUUUAAACGGAACAAUAUCUUUGUAUUUUGUAAGCGCAUAGAUGCAACUUUUAAACGGGCUUCCUUAUUUUUAAGGGAAUUAAGAAAUGCAUGGGUAUUAUAUCCCUUUAUCCUAAA